rnacentral:rRNA from 1 species
UACAGAGGUCUCAAGCGUUGUUCGGAUUCAUUGGGCGUAAAGGGUGCGUAGGUGGCGCGGUAAGUCGGGUGUGAAAUCUCGGAGCUUAACUCCGAAAUUGCAUUCGAUACUGCCGUGCUCGAGGACUGGAGAGGAGACUGGAAUUCAUGGUGUAGCAGUGAAAUGCGUAGAGAUCUGGAGGAACACCGGUGGCGAAGGCGGCAUCCUGGACCGGUAUUGACGCUGAGGCGCGAAAGCCAGGGGAGCAAACGGG